rnacentral:rRNA from 1 species
GUGCGAAUGCUGACAUAAGUAACGAUAAAGCGGGUGAAAAGCCCGCUCGCCGGAAGACCAAGGGUUCCUGUCCAACGUUAAUCGGGGCAGGGUGAGUCGACCCCUAAGGCGAGGCCGAAAGGCGUAGUCGAUGGGAAACAGGUUAAUAUUCCUGUACUUGGUGUUACUGCGAAGGGGGGACGGAGAAGGCUAUGUUGGCCGGGCGACGGUUGUCCCGGUUUAAGCGUGUAGGCUGGUUUUCCAGGCAAAUCCGGAAAACCAAGGCUGAGGCGUGAUGACGAGGCACUACGGUGCUGAAGCGACAAAUGCCCUGCUUCCAGGAAAAGCCUCUAAGCAUCAGGUAACAUCAAAUCGUACCCCAAACCGACACAGGUGGUCAGGUAGAGAAUACCAAGGCGCUUGAGAGAAC